AGGACGAACGCUGGCGGCGCGCUUAACACAUGCAAGUCGAGCGAGAACCAGUCCUUCGGGACUGGGGACAGCGGCGAACGGGUGAGUAACACGUGGGUAAUCUGCCCUCGAUCCUGGGAUAGCCCGGGGAAACCCGGAUUAAUACUGGAUAGCCUCUCGAGCUCUCGAGCUCUUGAGAAAAGGUGCUUCGGCCUCCGAUCGAGGAUGAGCCCGCGGCGGAUUAGCUUGUGGUGGGUAAUGGCCUACCAAGGCGACGAUCCGUAGCUGGUCUGAGAGGACGAUCAGCCACACUGGGACUGAGACACGGCCCAGACUCCUACGGGAGGCAGCAGUGGGGAAUCUUGCGCAAUGGGCGAAAGCCUGACGCAGCGACGCCGCGUGGGGGAAGAAGGCCUUCGGGUUGUAAACCUCUUUCAGCAGGACGAAGCCACUCGGUUAAUAGCCUAGAGGUGACGGUACCUGCAGAAGAAGACCCCCGGCUAACUACGUGCCAGCAGCCGCGGUAAC
rnacentral:rRNA from 1 species